GGUCAUGCGUGACAUUAGAUAGUUGGUGAGGUAACGGCUCACCAAGUCGACGAUGUCUAGGGGUUCUGAGAGGAAGGUCCCCCACACUGGUACUGAGACACGGACCAGACUCCUACGGGAGGCAGCAGUGAGGAAUAUUGGUCAAUGGACGCAAGUCUGAACCAGCCAUGUCGCGUGAAGGAAGACGGUUCUAUGGAUUGUAAACUUCUUUUAUACGGGAAGAAAACGUAUCUACGAGUAGAUAUUUGCCGGUACCGUAUGAAUAAGCACCGGCUAACUCCGUGCCAGCGGCCGCGGUAAUACGGAGGGUGCGAGCGUUAUCCGGAUUUAUUGGGUUUAAAGGGUGCGUAGGCGGAAUAAUAAGUCAGUGGUGAAAUCUCGCAGCUUAACUGUAAAACUGCCAUUGAUACUGUUAUUCUUGAAUUUAGUUGAGGUAGGCGGAAUGUGUUGUGUAGCGGUGAAAUGCAUAGAUAUAACACAGAACACCGAUUGCAAAGGCAGCUUACUAAGCUAUAAUUGACGCUGAUGCACGAAAGCGUGGGUAGCGAACAGGAUUAGAUACCCUGGUAGUCCACGCCGUAAACGAUGAUUACUCGUUGUUGGCAAUACAUAGUCAGCGACUGAGCGAAAGCAUUAAGUAAUCCACCUGGGGAGUACGUUGGCAACAAUGAAACUCAAAGGAAUUGACGGGGGCCCGCACAAGCGGAGGAACAUGUGGUUUAAUUCGAUGAUACGCGAGGAACCUUACCUGGACAUAAAUGUAGAUUGACAGGCUUAGAGAUAGGCUUUUCUUCGGACAAUUUACAAGGUGCUGCAUGGUUGUCGUCAGCUCGUGCCGUGAGGUGUCGGGUUAAGUCCGAUAACGAGCGCAACCCCUAUCUUUAGUUACCAGCAUGUAGUGGUGGGGACUCUAAAGAGACUGCCGGUGUAAACCGUGAGGAAGGUGGGGAUGACGUCAAAUCAGCACGGCCCUUACGUCCAGGGCUACACACGUGUUACAAUGGUCGGUACAAAGGGCAGCUACCUAGCGAUAGGAUGCUAAUCUCUAAAACCGAUCUCAGUUCGGAUCGGAGUCUGCAACUCGACUCCGUGAAGCUGGAUUCGCUAGUAAUCGCAUAUCAGCCAUGAUGCGGUGAAUACGUUCCCGGGCCUUGUACACACCGCCCGUCAAACCAUGGAAGUUGGGGGUACCUGAAGUCU
rnacentral:rRNA from 1 species